ensembl:lncRNA
UCAUUGCUGCUCUUAGGAAAGUCCAUCUUGAACUGCUGUUUCCAUAGCUUGUCCAGUGUGACAGCAGAAACUCCGUUGGCAGUAACUGUUGCCAAACAUCCUGGCCUUCCACAGCAUUCUCGAUUAAGUGGCCCAUUCACUGUCUAGCCAAGCACAGUCCUAAUGGCAAAAGGUCCAUCACCUACACUCCGGAUGACCUCCAAAGGUUUUAGAGCUCUGGGCAUAUUCAUGCCAAUCACAGGCUCCACACUGGCCUUAAUUUCUGGCAAAUGAACAUGCCUCAAUUAUGGCCAGUCAUCCAGGUCCUGUUGAUUUGGGAUGUUACCAAUAUCUACAGGCAUUUUAUGUUGAGUGAAGAGGUUAGGCAUAUCACAGUAGAUGUCACUGUCCAAUCCAGCAACUUCAAGUUCAGGUACAAUGAAACUCCACCUCUUUCUCCUGUCCCAUGGUGCGUAGGAGAAUCUUUGUCUUCCUCCCAGCAUGAUUCAACUUGUCUGUAUAAAACCCCUGUGAUUUGUGUAUAUCAGGGGUAGGCAACCUUUUUCCGUCAACAACCUCCAUUUUAUACCCACCUACAUACACGUUACUGGACAGAUGCUACAUGCAGUAAAUUUUGGCCCACUUGGGGUUUUUUCAUUGCAACGUCUGAUUGGUUGAAGUGACGUGAACGUGACAUCAUUACUGUGAUUCUAUUGGCUCAAACGAUUAAAAAGAGGUGUCAAUCAUGCAAAUUGACCAAAAGAAACCAAAGUUACAACCCCUCAGAGUUUAAAGGCCCACAGGCCAAUUAAAUGCUCCAUGCCCACGGCAGAAAAGGGCCGUGUGUAUGGAAAAGGGUCAUAUGCUAAAAAAAAAAAAAUAAAAAAUGGGCGAGGAUAAAAUCGACUCACUUUUUCUGUGUUCCAGUCUCAGUAACUUUGACACAAUAACAUCUGCUUCAAUAUUAACACCUCAGCUGAAAUUUCACAAAUGUUAGCUUUAUUUUGAAGCCAAGAUUGUAAGGACAGAGUUUGUAAUUGCAGAGAAAUAAUCAAUUAGAUUUGGGCAUUACAGUUUCGAGCAGCUCAGAAACCCCCUUGGGUCUUAACCCUCCACUGCAUAGCGUUGCCCUGAGGCAACAAACCACAUUUUCAUGCCUUACGGUGGCCCUUCAAAAAAAACAACUUUUUUUUUCAAACAAUGCUACCAGGCACAUCUCUUUCCAAUAAAAU